AUGAAGUUUUCCUCAAAAGCAUUCUAAACUCUACCGAGACUGUAGCAAGAGGAAGGGUCCAGAGCUUGGACCCAAAUGAUCUAGUUGGUAGUACAGAGAUUGGACCAGAAUGGUGUGAGGUAAACGUUCAAGUACCAAUAAAAAAGGAUGAAAACUUGGUAAGACCAUAUGGUUUAUUUUCUACAAUUCAAGAUUGUAUUGGUGCAUCCAUCAUAUGGCCCUAUCCAUUCAUCUCGGUAGUCCAUGAGGAUUGAGGAUGCAUGAUAACUCAAGAUUUUAUGCUUCUUAUUUCUUUAAUUGCUUUUAAUUUCUUUGUUAAAUGUUAAGACUUUAUGUUAGAUAAUGUUAUAACUUAUUUAUGGUUAGUGUUUUUAUUAUGAACAUGCUUAUUUGAAAUAUAAUGAAGUUUUAUUUCUUC
rnacentral:lncRNA from 1 species